GGUCGGUCCCCCAGGCUCCGCCGCCAUUUUGUACCGGGGACCUUGAGAGACGAGCCGCCGGGCAGGGUUUCGAGGCGGGGUUUGGAGAAGCCGGCAGCGGUUUUGCUGAGGAGCAGUGAAAACAUUGCCAUGAGGCUGGCAUUUGAGAACCAUCUACUUUAUUUUUCUGAACCAUAGCUUGGCCAUCUGUCAAAUAGUUAUACUCUUGGCUGAAGCUAGCGUCUAGCCUUACUGGUGCUCACCACUUCACACUUUUUCAAGAGGAUUUGAUGGGAUGAUGACCCAGAAAGCUGUGCAGUUGCCCCUUUGCGUGGAACCAUCUGAUUUUUGACUUAUAGGUUCUCCUUGGCCUCGUAUCUUGCCUUGCAGAUUUCCCUCCCUUCUGUAAACAGCCUCUGGACUCCAGCUGAGUUCCCCGGCAUGGCAUUGCCGAAAGGCAGGGAAGACAGGCCGCCACAGCAGAACGCCAGACGGACCUGGGGCUCUUGAGCAGAAGCUGACACUUCAGUAAUAGGAAGCUGGCUACAAAGCCCAAGGUCAGGAGCAGCCUCCGCACAAACGUUAAUUAUGCCCCAGAUUGGACACCUUCUGUCUCCUGUGGCUUCAUCCAGACUGGUUUGCACUGUGAUUUCUCGCGUACCGAUCUGUCUCCCCCACUGGAGCCUGAGCUCCUUCAGGGCAGGAAUUAUAUCUAAUGUUUUUCUCCCACAAAGCAAAUUCUACAUAGUAAGUGUUCAACCAACUUGACAUCAAUGGGACCCCAGCUUCCUGAAAAUUUAACAGUGGGCUCACACAUCACUGACAGGACUCCAGAGAAGGAAGACACCACCAACCAGGGGAGGGAGUCGCUUCCAGGACAUGGUACAAGGACCAACUGGAGAUCUCCUUUUCUUUUGUCAGUUCCCUGACGCGGUCUGCUCUCUGCCACCUCCACGCCUUGUGCACACAACCAUAUGUGUCAUUUGAGGCAUAUGAGAAGGAGGAGCGAAGGGAGCCGCUGCUGACAGGUUUGCUCCACACUUGGAAUUCUGCCACAGAAAUUCCAGAGCCUCUGUUGCUCCUCCUGCCCCACCCCACCCCACCCCUAGUCAUUGGAAGAUCUUUUCCAUCAGAGCAUUUGCUCAAGAAUGCCCUUGCAUCGUCCUCCCUAACGUUUGAUUUGACUCUUGGCUGACUCUGUUUGGAAUUCCAUGAAGACUCCUAAAAGCUGGUGGGCAGUGGAGAUGACGGAUGUGGUGGCUUUACUUUGCAGACAGAGAUGUGCCCAGGACCUUUGCACACUGGCCAGGCAGGGCUGGUCCCUGCGACAGGCUUCACUCCACAGGGUUGGCUGCCUGGGCUUGUUUGAGUCAACCUCACAACAGUUUGGAUAAAUGGGCCCCGGAUGUUGGGUGGAUGCCUUGCCCCGGUGUUCACCAAAACUACAUGGCUAAUUUUAUCUCGAUUCAGAAUCUGCUUUCUCUGCCACUGAUUGGCUGAUUGGGGAGACCAGGAUCUCAAAGUUAAAUCUCAAACAGGAGACUGAAAAGCAAGCAAUUUCCAAGGAAGACUUCAAUAUAUUCAUGGGAGUAGGGGGUGGGCAAAUAUUCUCUUUAAAAAAAAACCUAGUGGGGGGAGUUCUUUUAGAAAUUCAUGUGAAAAAGAGAAAUCCUCUUAGCUUCCCAAAUUUGAAGUGGCAUUUAAAUUUAAGUUCUCUUUUACUUAAUGUCAGAGAAGCUUUGAGACAGUCCUUAUUCAUCCUCCAAUGCUUUAUCGUGUUUUCAGCCUGUUUCAAAGGCAGCCAUGUCAGUACGUGCAGUGGAGUGGAGUCUUCACAAGGCAGCUCAUUUGCCUGAAAUGGCUAGGAAAUCACAUCCAAACAAAGAAAUUACUAAGAGCAUUUUCUUCAGGUAUAAAAAAGUGUGGUUUAUUCACCCAGAACUUGGUUUUCUUUGAGGUGUUGAGUGUCCCUUUUGAGACUUAAAAUGCUGCUUUCAUCUGGUGAAAUCUCAUCCCAGCUGGAGUCACGGACACGCUGAUCUGGAGCCCUUAUUGACUUGACAGCCAUCCACAUGCAGAACUACAGUGCUUUUGGCCGCCUGCUUUGUGGGUAGGGAUAACAGGAUAACCCACAGGAUUUACCCACAGGGUAAAUGCAAGAAAAUUCACUGGAAUGUCUUGUGCUGAUAAUUUAACAAAAUUCUCCCUCCGGCACUUUCUGACAGGGCAUGGGGAUUUUCUCCACUGUCAUCACACUUCAGGAGCGAUUGUGUCAUCCAGGUGCAGGUGUUCUUGGCUGUCCUUUACCUGUUGUCUCCUCCUGUCACAAAUAGCCCGGAAAGAACAUGACUGGUCCAUCUCUAUUAAUGGGGAAUUACCAAGUGGUUGCCUAGCAACUGGCACAGGGCAUCAAUAUGGUCUCUGUGGUGGAAUGUAGAGUGGUUGGCUCGCCUUUCAAGAAUGACUGUAUUUGCAUAUUUCUUUUGGGCUUCUAGAAAAAUAGGUUCGUGAGAAUGGCAUGAGAGAAAAAUAAUAAUAUAAAUAAAAAGCGCUUUGCAA
ensembl:lncRNA